AGUGAACGCUGGCGGUAGGCCUAACACAUGCAAGUCGAACGGCAGCACAGUAAGAGCUUGCUCUUACGGGUGGCGAGUGGCGGACGGGUGAGGAAUACAUCGGAAUCUACUUUUUCGUGGGGGAUAACGUAGGGAAACUUACGCUAAUACCGCAUACGACCUACGGGUGAAAGCAGGGGAUCUUCGGACCUUGCGCGAUUGAAUGAGCCGAUGUCGGAUUAGCUAGUUGGCGGGGUAAAGGCCCACCAAGGCGACGAUCCGUAGCUGGUCUGAGCGGAUGAUCAGCCACACUGGAACUGAGACACGGUCCAGACUCCUACGGGAGGCAGCAGUGGGGAAUAGUGGACAAUGGGCGCAAGCCUGAUCCAGCCAUACCGCGUGGGUGAAGAAGGCCUUCGGGUUGUAAAGCCCUUUUGUUGGGAAAGAAAAGCAGCAGGUUAAUACCCCGCUGUUCUGACGGUACCCAAAGAAUAAGCACCGGCUAACUUCGUG
rnacentral:rRNA from 1 species